rnacentral:rRNA from 1 species
AUUGAACGCUGGCGGCAGGCUUAACACAUGCAAGUCGAGCGGGGGAAGGUAGCUUGCUACCGGACCUAGCGGCGGACGGGUGAGUAAUGCUUAGGAAUCUGCCUAUUAGUGGGGGACAACAUCUCGAAAGGGAUGCUAAUACCGCAUACGUCCUACGGGAGAAAGCAGGGGAUCUUCGGACCUUGCGCUAAUAGAUGAGCCUAAGUCGGAUUAGCUAGUUGGUGGGGUAAAGGCCUACCAAGGCGACGAUCUGUAGCGGGUCUGAGAGGAUGAUCCGCCACACUGGGACUGAGACACGGCCCAGACUCCUACGGGAGGCAGCAGUGGGGAAUAUUGAACAAUGGGGGGAACCCUGAUCCAGCCAUGCCGCGUGUGUGAAGAAGGCCUUAUGGUUGUAAGGCACUUUAAGCGAGGAGGAGGCUACUUUAGUUAAUACCUAGAGAUAGUGGACGUUACUCGCAGAAUAAGCACCGGCUAACUCUGUGCCAGCCGCCGCCGUAA